rnacentral:rRNA from 1 species
GACGAACGCUGGCGGCGUGCUUAACGCAUGCAAGUCGAACGGAAAGGCCCUGCUUUUGUGGGGUGCUCGAGUGGCGAACGGGUGAGUAACACGUGAGUAACCUGCCCUUGACUUUGGGAUAACUUCAGGAAACUGGGGCUAAUACCGGAUAGGAGCUCCUGCUGCAUGGUGGGGGUUGGAAAGUUUCGGCGGUUGGGGAUGGACUCGCGGCUUAUCAGCUUGUUGGUGGGGUAGUGGCUUACCAAGGCUUUGACGGGUAGCCGGCCUGAGAGGGUGACCGGCCACAUUGGGACUGAGGAACGGCCCAGAGUCCUACGGGCGGCAGCAGUGGGGAAUAUUGCACAAUGGGCGGAAGCCUGAUGCAGGAACGCCGCGUGCGGGAUGACGGCCUUCGGGUUGUAAACCGCUUUCGCCUGUGACGAAGCGUGAGUGACGGUAAUGGGUAAAGAAGCACCGGCUAACUCCGUG